UGCCCUUGGCCUUCAGCUCACCUUGAGGAUUUCCUUGCCCUUUGCAAGAGGAUCUACUGCCCAGAUUCUAUGCUGGGGAACAGACUGCUGCCUCAGAGGGAGAUGACCAGGUGGAGAGGACCGUGCCGGACCACACUUGGGACACCUCUGGCCUCCCUUCUUCAGGCCUCCCCCUGGAGCACUUUAUCCAGAACGUUGUCCACAGUGCAUUGAGUCAGGAUGGGCUUGAGGCUCACAGCACCAGGCCAAGUCCCUCCAAACAAUCCCAGCCCUAACAUUUCAAAAUGAAUUAUAAUGAUACAGUUCAGAAGCUUCUUAACCUCAAUGAGAUGCCACCUGUCAUCCACUAAGAUGGCAGUUACUAUUAAAACAACAAGUGUUGGUGAGGAUGCCGGGGAGCAGGAUGGGAAUGUAAGACGGAACAGGCACCUGGAGAAUAGCACAAGGCCUCCUCAAGAAAUUAACAAUAGAAUCAUCACAGAAUUCAGCAUUUCCAGAAGAAUUAAAAGCAGGAUCUCAAAGAUUAUGUCUUUGUAUGCCUUUGUUCCUAGGAGUCUUAUUCACAAUAAUUUGUGACAGUUAAAUAUGGAAGUAACCAAA